GGUUCACUGGUGUUUAGCUAAAAAUUAGACUCAUAAUCGUCAGGUCCCCAGUUCGAGUCUGGGAGGGGCCACCA
rnacentral:tRNA from 1 species